UACGUAGGUGGCAAGCGUUGUCCGGAUUUAUUGGGCGUAAAGGGCGCGCAGGCGGUCCGUUAAGUCCGAGGUGAAAUCUUCCGGCUCAACCGGAAAAGUGCCCCUGAUACUGAAGGCCUCGAGGGGUGUAGGGGCAUGCGGAACUUCCGGUGGAGCGGUGAAAUGCGUAGAUAUCGGAAGGAACGCCGGUGGCGAAAGCGGCGUGCUGGACACCUUCUGACGCUGAGGCGCGAAAGCCAGGGGAGCAAACGGG
rnacentral:rRNA from 1 species